rnacentral:rRNA from 1 species
CCUAAGGUAGCGAAAUUCCUUGUCGGGUAAGUUCCGACCUGCACGAAUGGCGUAAUGAUGGCCAGGCUGUCUCCACCCGAGACUCAGUGAAAUUGAACUCGCUGUGAAGAUGCAGUGUACCCGCGGCAAGACGGAAAGACCCCGUGAACCUUUACUAUAGCUUGACACUGAACAUUGAGCCUUGAUGUGUAGGAUAGGUGGGAGGCUUAGAAGUGUGGACGCCAGUCUGCAUGGAGCCGACCUUGAAAUACCACCCUUUAAUGUUUGAUGUUCUAACGUUGACCCGUAAUCCGGGUUGCGGACAGUGUCUGGUGGGUAGUUUGACUGGGGCGGUCUCCUCCUAAAGAGUAACGGAGGAGCACGAAGGUUGGCUAAUCCUGGUCGGACAUCAGGAGGUUAGUGCAAUGGCAUAAGCCAGCUUGACUGCGAGCGUGAGGGCGCGAGCAGGUGCGAAAGCAGGUCAUAGUGAUCCGGUGGUUCUGAAUGGAAGGGCCAUCGCUCAACGGAUAAAAGGUACUCCGGGGAUAACAGGCUGAUACCGCCCAAGAGUUCAUAUCGACGGCGGUGUUUGGCACCUCGAUGUCGGCUCAUCACAUCCUGGGGCUGAAGUAGGUCCCAAGGGUAUGGCUGUUCGCCAUUUAAAGUGGUACGCGAGCUGGGUUUAGAACGUCGUGAGACAGUUCGGUCCCUAUCUGCCGUGGGCGCUGGAGAACUGAGGGGGGCUGCUCCUAGUACGAGAGGACCGGAGUGGACGCAUCACUGGUGUUCGGGUUGUCAUGCCAAUGGCACUGCCCGGUAGCUAAAUGCGGAAGAGAUAAGUGCUGAAAGCAUCUAAGCACGAAACUUGCCCCGAGAUGAGUUCUCCCUGACUCCUUGAGAGUCCUGAAGGAACGUUGAAGACGACGACGUUGAUAGGCCGGGUGUGUAAGCGCAGCGAUGCGUUGAGCUAACCGGUACUAAUGAACCGUGAGGCUUAACCUU